rnacentral:rRNA from 1 species
GACGAACGCUGGCGGCGUGCUUAACACAUGCAAGUCGAACGGAAAGGCCCUGCUUUUGUGGGGUGCUCGAGUGGCGAACGGGUGAGUAACACGUGAGUAACCUGCCCUUGACUUUGGGAUAACUUCAGGAAACUGGGGCUAAUACCGGAUAGGAGCUCCUGCUGCAUGGUGGGGGUUGGAAAGUUUCGGCGGUUGGGGAUGGACUCGCGGCUUAUCAGCUUGUUGGUGGGGUAGUGGCUUACCAAGGCUUUGACGGGUAGCCGGCCUGAGAGGGUGACCGGCCACAUUGGGACUGAGAUACGGCCCAGACUCCUACGGGAGGCAGCAGUGGGGAAUAUUGCACAAGGGGCGGAAGCCUGAUGAAGCAACGCCGCGUGCGGGAUGACGGCCUUCGGGUUGUAAACCGCUUUCGCCUGUGACGAAGAGUGAGUGACGGUAAUGGGUAAAGAAGCACCGGCUAACUACG